rnacentral:rRNA from 1 species
UUUUCCUACGGGACGCAGCAGUGAGGAAUAUUGGUCAAUGGGCGCAAGCCUGAACCAGCCAAGUCGCGUGAGGGAUGACGGUCCUAUGGAUUGUAAACCUCUUUUGUCGGGGAGCAAGGCCCGCCACGUGUGGCGGGAAGGAGAGUACCCGAAGAAAAAGCAUCGGCUAACUCCGUGCCAGCAGCCGCGGUAAUACGGAGGAUGCGAGCGUUAUCCGGAUUUAUUGGGUUUAAAGGGUGCGUAGGCGGAAGGUUAAGUCAGCGGUCCAAUGUCGGCGCUCAACACCUGCCUGCCGUU